CCUGCUAUCAGGUGCUGAGUCGUCACUUAGCAUGGUCCUGAUAGGGAUGGGGGUGAGCUGCCAGUGUACUGUAGGAAUUAAAAUCAGAAAGAGACUCUGCUGUAAUGAAAUACCCAGUCAUUGAAUACAUCUGAAUAAACAUGACUCUGGGCUGGUGAUGUGGACAUGGGCUAGGAUGACUAGGUUUCUAAACAGACGUCAGCAAAGAGCUCGAAUAGUGAAAAGGAUGCCAGAGGGAUUUGCAAGAUUCUGGACUCAAUUGUUGCCAAGCUGUGUAAAAUAUCGCCUCAUAUCUCGAGCUCUGAAGUCUGAAAAGGAAACCUCAAGUCAAGAGGAUAAGGCUGGUCCACUGAAGCAUACUGAAGGUUAAGCAGCUGGUUUGUCAGGCUGGACAGGUUUGGACCAUGACAGAUCCUCUAGCGGUGCUGAAGCAAACAGGACAUGUGUUGUAAGCCACAGCUGCAUCUGAAGGGGAAAAAAAGAGUGCUUAAACGGGUCAGAUGUGCAAUCGGAUUACAAACCCGCCUAACUGAUUCUGACGACAGAAACCGCCCCUGCGUCUGAAACACUGUGGUGUUCUACCCUUGCAAGAUGUUUGGACUCUAAUGAAGCGUGAACUGCUUGCCUCAAAUCUGGUGGGCAAGGGGAAGGUUAAGAUGAGUGCUUGCUGCCCGACUGCCUUCUGCACACGCAUCUCACAGCUGACUCACCUUGUGCAGUGAAACGAGCCUGAGAGUCUCACAAAGUCACCACCUCAGUUAGGGUACUGACCACAUCCUCCUGGGCCCACUGGGUUGGCAGCGCAGCUCAUACAUGCAAACCCAGGGCUGUCAAAUCUCUCAAUCAACCGCCUAAAAAUACUUUGAAUCUCACACUGGAAUGAAGUGGUGUGUUACAGGUGCCUGGGUGUGGUGAUCACGACAAGACAGAAAUACAAAAAUCAAGUCCAGUCUGCCCCAGUUUGUGAACAUAUGCUUUAUUUCAAAACAGUUUCAGUGCUGCUGGUUCUAAGGUCCUCAAGAAAUACAUUUCUAAAGCUGUCGAUUGAUUGUGUGCUUAUCUAAUUAGAAACACAUAAAUCAGCUGUACGGUUUUUCUGCAGUGAAAGAUAGUACAAGCUAUUUAGAACUGAAAAUAUAUGCAAGCAUACUGAAUAAUCAAGAAUUAUCAGCACCACCUCAGAAAUAAACAUGCGGUCUAGAGUGCCAGCAAUCUCUGCAGUGUUUACUUAGCAAGCAGGCACAAACACAUCAGAUUUUCAAAACUGCCCACUGAGAGAGGAAGAGCAGUGUGACCACUGAAGCAUGUUUAUCCACAUCUAGCUAAAAAUACCAUUUACAGCAAAGGUUUUUUUUUUUUUUUUUUUUUUUUUGGUGAUACAUUUUAAUAGGAUUAUGAGUGUGCAAUAAUGCUUUUGGAGACCACAAAGGUCUUCUGAUGAGAUGUGGAAAGUGAAGGAUAAGCAUAUUUCUGCUACAGGUCAGAAAGUAAUAAAAACCUCUGUGUCCUCAAUAGCUAGUGCAUUUUAGGAAUUGGUGCAGAAAGACAGACCACGGUCUUUACCUGGUGCAGAAAGACGGGCCAUUGUAAAACUGGAUUCUUUCAAACACAUGACAUGUUCUCUUUGAGCCGAUGCCCUAAUCAUAACCCUAACCCUAACCCUUACCUGUCCCUAAGCCUCACCCUAAUCCCUACCCGUUAUUAACCCUAACCCUAUCCCUAUCCCUAUCCCUAACCCUAACCCAAAUAUAAGAACUUAUAUAAAUCUUAAGCUCAGUGUUUAAAUUAUGAGCUAGCCUGUUGUUUCAAAGCCUUGCCCAUCUUUCUGCACCUACAGUAUGCCUUAUUUUAUAUACAUAUUCGGCAGAUGCUAUUAAAAGGUAUGUUGUACUUCUCAUACAUAAUGUGGACCAGAGCACCUUGUCCAUUGCCACUUGAUUAGCCAUGUGUAACGCUUACCCAAAUCUAAAGUUAAACACCCUUUCAUGAAUAUGUCACAUUAUUACAUGCAUAAUAAAUAUAUAAAAAGUGUUACAUUAGAAUUUAAAAAUGUUAUCGUCGCAGUACAUCCAAUUUGAUAAUCCUAUGCUUGUCUUUCAUGUUAUUUAUAACUUUCCUGUCAGUUCAAUUGGUGCAGUCUUGUUAGCUCUCGAGAAAUGCAAAGCAGCUGUGUGACACCCAACAUUCUUGUUUCUCAUCGGUUUGCAUUAUUAAUGCUUUCUGCGGUUUCUGAUGUCUGCACCACAUAGUCACGAAGUACUGAUCCACUGAAGUUUUAAUGGAGCGCAUCUGUCAGUACAGGUCAGACAGGAUUGCAUAGUUCUGUUCACCGGAUUUGCCAACCACAAGAUGAGCAAAUUAUCGGUCGCUUCCCAUUUUUAACAUUUCCAGUGCCAAUCACACUUUAUGCUUCCAUCACAAUUUAUAUAUGGAGCCCUGGAGAUUCGGCCAACUUAUACUUAAUUCAAUAUCAUGCUUAUUGCUUAUAAUAAUAAUAAUCAGAAGAUUUGCUGAUUUAAUUUUGGUUAUCCUGGAUUUGACACAGAAGAGGUUAAUGGCACAUAUAUAAUUAUAAUUAAAUAUAAUUAAAUUAAAAUUAAAAAAAAACUUGCUCCACUUCUGCACUAAACUACAUUGUACUCUCAGCCUUCAAUAAAAAUUCAAAUAUAGAAUUAUAUGUAAUUAUUUUUGGAAAAUAGCACACCGUUCUCCUGCUUGUAUUUGAA